AGAGCCCAAAAGAUGGCCGCCUGACUUACCUCAGGAGGAAAGUCCGGGCAACAGAGAGCAUGGUAGUCGCUAACAGCGACCGUCCGUAAGGAUAGGGAAAGUACCACAGAAACUUAAACCGCCUCAGCUUGCUGAGGUAAGGGUGAAAAGAGUGAGGUAAGAGCUCACAGUAUACUAUAGCGAUGUAGUAUAGAGGCAAACCCUACUUGUUGCAAGGAGUGCUAAAAACCUCUGCUCGAGGAUGCACGCUCACCGCUCGAACAUUAUAGCAAUGUAAUGUCUAGAUAGAUGGUCAUCGGCUGCACACUUGUAUGACUGCAGCCACAGAACCCGGCUUAUAGAAGGCUCAUUAU
rnacentral:RNase_P_RNA from 1 species